CUACUACUGUCAACUGCUUUUACCUCCCGACUUCCCAUCUCUCUCUCUCUCUCUCUCAUUCUCUCUCCCUCCCUCCUUUUUCUUCCCACAUUUUGAAGUUCUUUCUCCUCACUCAUAGGCUCUUCCAACAAGAACAAGUGCUUUAAUUUUUAUGCUCCAUAAGAGAAGUGUUUCUCCUAACUUGUGCCAUUCCCAUUUGCAGGUAACUUAAAGGAGGGUCAGUUGAGAAAAACAUUGCUUCAAAUUGACACUUGCAUGAGAAGUAACUGUAGGCAUGACAUCCUGUUUUCUCUGCUGCAUCUGAUGUGCUCACCCAGGCCAAACGCAGAAUAAAGAACGGUCACCACUAUGCGGCUCAGAAGAGAAAUAGGGUUAUCACCAACUAUCACCGGAAGAGCUCAGACUCAGG